GUGACCUCAAAUCAGGUAGGACUACCCGCUGAACUUAAGCAUAUCAAUAAGCGGAGGAAAAGAAACUAACAAGGAUUCCCCUAGUAACUGCGAGUGAAGCGGGAAAAGCUCAAAUUUAAAAUCUGGCGGUCUUUUGGCUGUCCGAGUUGUAAUCUAGAGAAGUGUUAUCCGCGCUGGACCGUGUACAAGUCUCCUGGAAUGGAGCAUCAUAGAGGGUGAGAAUCCCGUCUUUGACAUGGACUACCAGGGCUUUGUGAUGCGCUCUCAAAGAGUCGAGUUGUUUGGGAAUGCAGCUCAAAAUGGGUGGUAAAUUCCAUCUAAAGCUAAAUAUUGGCGAGAGACCGAUAGCGAACAAGUACCGUGAGGGAAAGAUGAAAAGAACUUUGGAAAGAGAGUUAAACAGUACGUGAAAUUGCUGAAAGGGAAACGCUUGAAGUCAGUCGCGUCGUCCAGGGAUCAACCUUGCUUUUGCUUGGUGCACUUUCUGGUUCGAUGGGUCAGCAUCAAUUUUGACUGUUGGAAAAAGGUUGAGGGAAUGUGGCAUCUUUGGAUGUGUUUAUAGCCCUUGGUCACAUACAAUGGUUGGGAUUGAGGAACUCAGCACGCCGCAAGGCCGGGUUUUAAACCACGUACGUGCUUAGGAUGCUGGCAAUAUGGCUUUAAUCGACCCGUC
rnacentral:rRNA from 1 species